rnacentral:rRNA from 1 species
UACGUAGGGAGCAAGCGUUGUCCGGAAUCAUUGGGCGUAAAGCGCGCGUAGGCGGCCUCAUAAGUCCGUUGUGAAAGUCAAAGGCUCAACCUUUGAAAGCCGAUGGAUACUGUGAGGCUAGAGUCCGGAAGAGGCGAGUGGAAUUCCUGGUGUAGCGGUGGAAUGCGCAGAUAUCAGGAGGAACACCGGUGGCGAAGGCGGGACUCUGGGCCGAUACUGACGCUGAGGAGCGAAAGCGUGGGGAGCGAACAGG